GGGGAUAUAGCUCAGUUGGGAGAGUGCCUGCCUUGCAAGCAGGAGGUCGGCGGUUCGAUCCCGCCUAUCUCCACCA
rnacentral:tRNA from 1 species